rnacentral:rRNA from 2 species
GCUGUAGUCGGUCCCAAGGGUUGGGCUGUUCGCCCAUUAAAGCGGUACGCGAGCUGGGUUCAGAACGUCGUGAGACAGUUCGGUCCCUAUCCGUCGCGGGCGUAGGAAAUUUGAGAGGACCUGUCCUUAGUACGAGAGGACCGGGAUGGACAUACCGCUGGUGUACCAGUUGUUCCGCCAGGAGCACCGCUGGGUAGCUAUGUAUGGACGAGAUAAACGCUGAAAGCAUCUAAGUGUGAAACUCGCCUCGAGAUGAGAUUUCCCAUUUCCUUCGGGAAAGUAAGACCCCUCAGAGAUGAUGAGGUAGAUAGGAUGGAAGUGGAAGUGCCGUGAGGCAUGGAGCGGACCAUUACUAAUCGGUCGAGGACUUAACCAAG